CCUGACUGCUAUCGGAUUGAUACUAAGCCAUGCGAGUCAUUGUAGUAAUACAAGGCAGACGGCUCAGUAACGCGUAGUCAACCUACCCUAUGGACGGGGAUAACCUCGGGAAACUGAGAAUAAUACCCGAUAGAACAUUAUACCUGGAAUGGUUUAUGUUUCAAAUAAUUUAUUGCCGUAGGAUGGGACUGCGGCCUAUCAGUUUGUUGGUGAGGUAAUGGCCCACCAAGACUAUUACAGGUACGGGCUCUGAGAGGAGUAGCCCGGAGAUGGGUACUGAGACACGGACCCAGGCCCUAUGGGGCGCAGCAGGCGAGAAAACUUUGCAAUGUGCGAAAGCACGACAAGGUUAAUCCGAGUGGUUUCUGCUAAAGGAACCUUUUGUCAGUCCUAGAAACACUGGUGAAUAAGGGGUGGGCAAGUUCUGGUGUCAGCCGCCGCGGUAAAACCAGCACCUCAAGUGGUCAGGAUGAUUAUUGGGCCUAAAGCAUCCGUAGCCUGCUUUGUUAGUUUUCGGUUAAAUCCAUACGCUUAACGUAUGGGCUGCCGGGAAUACUGCAAAGCUAGGGAGUGGGAGAGGUAGACGGUACUCGGUAGGAAGGGGUAAAAUCCUUUGAUCUAUUGAUGACCACCUGUGGCGAAGGCGGUCUACCAGAACACGUCCGACGGUGAGGGAUGAAAGCUGGGGGAGCAAACCGGAUUAGAUACCCGGGUAGUCCCAGCUGUAAACUAUGCAAACUCGGUGAUGCAUUGGCUUGAUGCCAAUGCAGUGCCGCAGGGAAGCCGUUAAGUUUGCCGCCUGGGAAGUACGUACGCAAGUAUGAAACUUAAAGGAAUUGGCGGGGGAGCACCACAAGGGGUGAAGCCUGCGGUUC
rnacentral:rRNA from 1 species